UUAUUUUUACACUCUAAAAACCGUUGGGUUAUUUGUUUUACCCAAUAGGUGGGUUAAACAUAUUGGGUUGUUCUGUUGGGUUAUUCCUAGCUUGUAUUGGGUUAUUUCCAUAACAACCCAGAGAGUUGGGUUAAAAUCGGGCUCACGUCACGCAUUUUGAAUUUCAACGGUUGACCGGUGCCACUGCUGAGUGCGGACAGACACGAGAGACAUUCUUGGAGAUGUUGCAUUAAAAACCUUACAAAAUGGCCAGCAAGAUGAUUCAGCCUUCCUACAGUACAAAGAGGCAAAGCAAACAUUUAUUAAUUUGCAACCUGUCAGAAAACAAACAUAAUUCAGUAUUUGGAGGAGGAGGUAUGACGAAGACCCCAUGUCCUCCUAUGGGAUGAAUUCGACUAAUCACAAGCCUUUGUUAUCGUGGGGAGGCAUGCAUGGCCCAGGAGCAAGACCAGCAGUUGACACAUGCUUUAAUUUUUUUUUUUUACAUUUUAUACAGAGUAUCCCAAGCCUUUCACUACUGUUAAGUAGUUUCUGUAACACACAAUACAUUUUGUACCAUGUGAUGUUUCCUGAACACACUGUCACCUGCUUAAAGGGACAGUUCCCCCAAAAAUGAAAAUUGUCAUAAUUUUCUUCCUCUCCUGUCGUUACAAACCUGUACACAUUUUUUUGUUCUGAUGACCACAAAGGAAGAUAUUUUGAGUAAUGUUUAAACCAAACAGAUCAUGAGCCCCAUUGACUGUCAUAGUAGGAAAAAAGAAUACUAUGAAAAUGAAUGGGGCUCAUGAUCGGUUUGAUUUCAAACAUUCUUUGAAAU